CCUAGAGUGGCUUUAACUUACCCAGAGCAGCAAACACCUCACCUGGGAGCACAGGGCUGCUGCUCCUAAUUUGGUUUUCUUUAACUACUAUUUGAACGUCUCAUAAUUUUUGAACUUUGAAUCUUACUUGAAGAUUCCACUGUUAAAGAGAAGAACACAGCGCCUUUGGAAGAUUCGAAUUUUGGUAAUAAGGAGACUGUAAACUGUGAAAGUCAUUUAGACUAGGCAAGACCAUAGGCAAGAUUCAGCUAUUCUGAAUUAAACAGUGUUUCAGCUUAUACCAUCUGCUUUCAAUGCCACAUAAUUCACCAAAGGAUUAAAGACAAUGGCAGGUAAUAGCUUCUUAGGCAUAAAAAUAACAUCACCUGGAAUCAAUUAUAGGUAUGCUGACUGAUGAAGUGAUCUCCUGGAAUUAGUAAGUGACAUAAACACCAAGCUUCCCUCACUAGGUCCAACCUCAAGUCCCGAACUAAUAGACCCUCCACUGCUAACUCAUUCUUCUGGAUCAUGAAAUGCCUCCCAUUGCCAUACUUCUGACUGAAGAUGAAGGUGGGGGAAAGGAUGAGACAUCCUGUUUUGAGGGAGGAAAAAAGCCUUGCCAUCACAAAACUCUAAAAACUAAAUAA